UUAAUAAGGAUAGCGCCAGGCCUUUAUUUCAUGUUAGGAACAUUCCACAAGAUGAAGGUGACGAGGAGAGAGCUUAUCGAAGGAUUCGGCGGAUGGCUCUAGGCUAAUGUAGUCUAUAAGAACUAAAAAAAAAGUAAGGCAACUUACUAACAAAAAUAGUUCUAUGCAUCUAG
rfam:Carnobacterium maltaromaticum LMA28 complete genome